UUCUUAUCCAGAGCGGCGGAGGGACUGGCCCGAUGAAACCCGGCAACCAAAUGGAGACAUUUAGGUGCCAAUUCCUGCAGAAUCCAAAUGGAUUUUGAGAGAUAAGAG
rnacentral:ncRNA from 2 species